UUUCAUUCACUUCAACAACUCUAUAUUAACUGUUUUCGUUCAUAUUUUUUUCUCCUUUCUCUUUUUUCUUCUUUUUUUUCUUUUCUUUUUCAUAAGGAGUAUGUAUUUACAUGUAUACAUCCUUCUAUUUUUUUUCAUUCAUUUUUUUUCAUUUCUAUUUUUCUUUUCUUUUUCUACCAACUUCUAAAAUAUUGCAAACAUAAUUAUUCAACCCCACACAA
rnacentral:lncRNA from 1 species